UACGUAGGGGGCUAGCGUUGUCCGGAUUUAUUGGGCGUAAAGGGCGUGUAGGCGGCCAGGUAGGUCUGCUGUGAAAACUCGAGGCUCAACCUCGAGACGCCGGUGGAAACCAUCUAGCUAGAGUCCGGAAGAGGAGAGUGGAAUUCCUGGUGUAGCGGUGAAAUGCGCAGAUAUCAGGAAGAACACCCGUGGCGAAGGCGGCUCUCUGGGACGUGACUGACGCUGAGACGCGAAAGCGUGGGGAGCGAACAGG
rnacentral:rRNA from 1 species